GCUAGGCGUGGUGGCAGGCACCUUUAGUCCCAGCUACCGAGGAGGCCAAGAUGAGAGGCUUCCUUGAGUCCAGGAGAGUGUGGCCCUCCUGGACAAUAGAGUGAGACUUCGCCUCUU
rnacentral:sRNA from 1 species